CCGUAGCUCAGCAGGAUAGAGCGGCAGAUUCCUAAUCUGUAGGUCGGGGGUUCGAAUCCCUCCGG
rnacentral:tRNA from 1 species